rnacentral:rRNA from 1 species
UGACAGGUGGUGCGAUGGUUGUCGUCAGCUCGUGUCGUGAGAUGUUGGGUUAAGUCCCGCAACGAGCGCAACCCCUAUUGUUAGUUGCCAUCAUUCAGUUGGGCACUCUAGCGAGACUGCCGGUAAUAAACCGGAGGAAGGUGGGGAUGACGUCAAAUCAUCAUGCCCCUUAUGACCUGGGCUACACACGUGCUACAAUGGUUGGUACAACGAGUUGCGAGUCGGUGACGGCGAGCUAAUCUCUUAAAGCCAAUCUCAGUUCGGAUUGUAGGCUGCAACUCGCCUACAUGAAGUCGGAAUCGCUAGUAAUCGCGGAUCAGCACGCCGCGGUGAAUACGUUCCCGGGCCUU